rnacentral:rRNA from 1 species
CUACGGGUCGCUCCAGUGAGGAAUAUUGCACAAUGGGGGGAACCCUGAUGCAGCAACGCCGCGUGGAGGAUGACGCAUUUCGGCGUGUAAACCCCUUUUAUAUGUCAAGAAAAUGACGGUAGCAUAUGAAUAAGCACCGGCUAACUCCGUGCCAGCAGCCGCGGUAAUACGGAGGGUGCAAGCGUUACUCGGAAUCACUGGGCGUAAAGGACGCGUAGGCGGGUUGGAAAGUCAGGUGUGAAAUCCUACAGCUUAACUGUAGAACUGCACUUGAAACUUCUAAUCUAGAGUAUGGGAGGGGGAGAUGGAAUUAGUGGUGUAGGGGUAAAAUCCGUAGAUAUCACUAGGAAUACCUAAAGCGAAGGCGAUCUCCUGGAACAUUACUGACGCUAAGGCGUGAAAGCGUGGGGAGCAAACAGGAUUAGAUACCCGCGUAGUC